AGGGAGAGCCCUGAGCUUCAAGGGUAGGCAGGGAGAAGAGGGCAGUGUGGGAAGAGGAAGCCAAGCUGCAGAAGGAAGAGCUGAGAAAGGGAGAGAAGUCAGAUCACUGGUGAUAACUCUUUGCAUUGCUAGAUUCAGCCUUCUCUGAAGUCAGCCUUAUCUCUGCUGUCUAAUCAUCUCUUCUCCGUGUGUGACUUUCGCUUUGGAUUGGCUCCGUUCAAGGUCACAAGAUGACUGCCACACUCUCAGAGUCACAUUCUUCAAGUCAAUCCCCAGAGGAAGCAGAGGGAAAACUUUUUCCUGGCAUCUGGUUUUCUUUAUAGUAGGAAGAAUUAUGCAGAAGACUUUUACAAGAGCAAGCUCCAUCAGUGCUCCCUUUGAACCUAGCCUGGAUCCAUCCACUUCUCUUCAUCAGUCUCCCUCUCUAGUCCAGGAUGCCACCAUCAUGGCUUGCCUGGAGGACUCGAUGCCUCCCACUGGCCUCCCUCAUUCUGCCACACCCACCAAUGAUCUGUGCUCCACCAAGCAUCCAAAGUGUCUUUUCAUAAUGUCUGUUGGAUCAUGUUUCUCCACUGGCUAAAACACUACAGAAAAAUAGUUACAGGAUGGAACUGGAGGCCAUUAUAUUAAGUGAAGUAAUUCGGGACUGGAAAAUCAAAUGCCACAUGUUCUCACUGAUAAGUGGGGGCUAAGCUAUGGAUGUGCAGGGGCAUACAGAGUGGUAUAAUGGACAUUGGAACCUCAGUAGGGGAGGUGAGGAAUGAAAAUUACCUAUUGGGUAAAAUGUACAGUAUUCAGGUGACAGGUACAUGGAAAACCCAGAUUUCAACACUAUACAAUUCAUCCAUGUAACUAAAAACCACCUGUACCACUAAAACUAUUGAAAUAAAAAUAAAGAAAUUAAUUUAGAAAAAAAAUUCCAAUUUUAUAUCUGGGUCUGUAAGUACUCUGUGGUCUGGGCCCUGCCUACCUUUCUCUUUUCUUUUCUUUUCUUUUUGAGACAGAGUUUCACUUUUGUUGCCCAAGCUGGAGUGAAAUGGCAUGAUCUUGGCUCACUGCAACCUCUGCCUCACAGGUUCAAACGAUUCUCCUGCCUCAGUCUCCUGAGUAGCUGGGAUUACAGGCAUGGGCCACCACACCUGGCUAAUUUUGUAUUUUUAGUAGAGAUGGGGUUUCUCCAUGUUGAUCAGGCUGGUCUUGAACUCCCAACCUCAG
rnacentral:lncRNA from 1 species